rnacentral:rRNA from 1 species
UACAGAGGUCUCAAGCGUUGUUCGGAUUUACUGGGCGUAAAGGGCGCGUAGGCGGCGCAACAAGUCACUUGUGAAAUCUUCAGGCUUAACCUGAAGCGGCCAAGUGAUACUGUCGUGCUAGAGUGCGGAAGGGGCAACUGGAAUUCUUGGUGUAGCGGUGAAAUGCGUAGAUAUCAAGAGGAACACCUGCGGCGAAGGCGGGUUGCUGGGCCGACACUGACGCUGAGGCGCGAAAGCUAGGGGAGCGAACGGG